CAGCCGCCGCGGGAAUACGUAGGGUGCGAGCGUUAAUCGGAAUUACUGGGCGUAAAGCGUGCGCAGGCGGUUCGUUAAGACAGAUGUGAAAUCCCCGGGCUUAACCUGGGAACUGCAUUUGUGACUGGCGAGCUAGAGUAUGGCAGAGGGGGGUGGAAUUCCGCGUGUAGCAGUGAAAUGCGUAGAUAUGCGGAGGAACACCGAUGGCGAAGGCAGCCCCCUGGGCCAAUACUGACGCUCAUGCACGAAAGCGUGGGGAGCAAACAGGAUUAGAUACUCGCGUAGUCCCUGUCUCUUAUAC
rnacentral:rRNA from 1 species